AUGUCAGUCCAAGUCGUCGCCAAGAAGGCGGCGGAGGCGGCCGCAUUCGCCAAGGCCAUCAAGAAACCCUCCAAAUGCGUCACCGACUGCCUCGACGACCUCGCCGUACUAUCCAAGCACAUCAAGACGCUCCUGGCGACGCUCGAAACCGCCAACGACGCGGGCUUCUUUGAGCAAUUUGACAAAAAGAGCAAAUGUCACGGAGAUUGUUGCUCGGACAACUUCUCGGUCGAGGAAUGCAACGCACAGAGCCAAAUCGGUGGGGUGUUUGGCGAUUUUCGUGUCACUGAUGACCUGUUGAUGAGGAGGGCGUAUUUUAGGAAGCAACAGCUUGACAACAAAACAACAUCACCUAACUCUAACUGA
rnacentral:rRNA from 1 species